rnacentral:misc_RNA from 1 species
CAACGAACCAUUAGAUUCUUGGACUGCCCACAGGACUGAAGCAGGACUACUUUACUAUUAUAAUGCUUCAACAGGAGAGUCGACUUAUAAGAAACCUGCCGGGGGAGAUGGAGAAGGUUCCCAUGCAGCCAACUCCAUUUUCAAUGGAGAAUUUGGCUGGUACUGACUGGGCCUUGAUCACAACAAAUGAUGGAAAAAAAUAUUACUACAACA